rnacentral:rRNA from 1 species
AUGAACGCUGGCGGCGCGCCUAACACAUGCAAGUCGAACGAUUAAAGCACCUUCGGGUGUGUAUAAAGUGGCGAACGGCUGAGUAACACGUGGGCAACCUGCCCCUUUCAUUGGGAUAGCCACGGGAAACCGUGGAUAAUACCGAAUACUUCGAGACUUCCGCAUGGAAGACUCGAGAAAGCUCCGGCGGAGGGGAUGGGCCCGCGGCCUGUUAGCUUGUUGGUGGGGUAACGGCCUACCAAGGCAAUGAUGGGUAGCUGGGUUGAGAGACCGACCAGCCAGAUUGGGACUGAGACACGGCCCAGACUCCUACGGGAGGCAGCAGUGGGGAAUCUUGCACAAUGGGCGAAAGCCUGAUGCAGCGACGCCGCGUGCGGGAUGAAGGCCUUCGGGUUGUAAACCGCUUUCAGCAGGGACGAGGCGAAAGUGACGGUACCUGCAGAAGAAGCCCCGGCUAACUACGUG